UGGUGGGUAGUUUGACUGGGGCGGUCUCCUCCUAAAGAGUAACGGAGGAGCACGAAGGUUAGCUAAUCCUGGUCGGACAUCAGGAGGUUAGUGCAAAGGCAUAAGCUAGCUUGACUGCGAGCGUGACGGCGCGAGCAGGUGCGAAAGCAGGUCUUAGUGAUCCGGUGGUUCUGAAUGGAAGGGCCAUCGCUCAACGGAUAAAAGGUACUCCGGGGAUAACAGGCUGAUACCGCCCAAGAGUUCAUAUCGACGGCGGUGUUUGGCACCUCGAUGUCGGCUCAUCACAUCCUGGGGCUGAAGUAGGUCCCAAGGGUAUGGCUGUUCGCCAUUUAAAGUGGUACGCGAGCUGGGUUUAGAACGUCGUGAGACAGUUCGGUCCCUAUCUGCCGUGGGCGCUGGAGAAUUGAGGGGGGCUGCUCCUAGUACGAGAGGACCGGAGUGGACGCAUCACUGGUGUUCGGGUUGUCAUGCCAAUGGCACUGCCCGGUAGCUAAAUGCGGAAGAGAUAAGUGCUGAAAGCAUCUAAGCACGAAACUUGCC
rnacentral:rRNA from 1 species